AAGAAUUUAAGUUAAAUUAAACUGUUGACCUUCAAAGUCAAAUAUAAAUCACAUAAAUUUAAUUCUUA
rnacentral:tRNA from 1 species